rnacentral:rRNA from 1 species
CGGUACGUACUGGUAUUGUUGGUUUCUCCCUUCUGACGAACCAUGAUGUCAUUUAUUUGGUGUUGUGGGGAAUCAGGACUGUUACUUUGAAAAAAUUAGAGUGUUUAAAGCAGGCUCACGCUUGAAUACACUAGCAUGGAAUAAUGAAAUAGGACGUUUGAUUCUAUUUUGUUGGUUUCUAGGAUCGACGUAAUGAUUAAUAGGGAUAGUUGGGGGCAUUAGUAUUCAAUUGUCAGAGGUGAAAUUCUUGGAUUUAUUGAAGACUAACUACUGCGAAAGCAUUUGCCAAGGAUGUUUUCAUUAAUCAAGAACGAAAGUUAGGGGAUCGAAGACGAUCAGAUACCGUCGUAGUCUUAACCAUAAACUAUGCCGACUAGGGAUCGGAUGAUGUUAAUUUUUUAAUGACUCAUUCGGCGCCUUACG